rnacentral:rRNA from 1 species
CCCAGACUCCUACGGGAGGCAGCAGUGGGGAAUAUUGCACAAUGGGGGGAACCCUGGUGCAGCGACGCCGCGUGGGUGAAGGAGUGCUUCGGCAUGUAAAGCCCUAUCGGCAGGGAAGAAGCAAGACGGUACCUGACUAAGAAGCCCCGGCUAACUACGUGCCAGCAGCCGCGGUAAUACGUAGGGGGCGAGCGUUAUCCGGAUUCACUGGGUGUAAAGGGAGCGUAGACGGCAGCGCAAGUCUGGAGUGAAAUGCCGGGGCCCAACCCCGGAACUGCUUUGGAAACUGUGCAGCUCGAGUGCAGGAGAGGUAAGCGGAAUUCCUAGUGUAGCGGUGAAAUGCGUAGAUAUUAGGAGGAACACCAGUGGCGAAGGCGGCUUACUGGACUGUAACUGACGUUGAGGCUCGAAAGCGUGGGGGGCAAACAGGAUUAGAUACCCGCGUACCG